rnacentral:lncRNA from 1 species
CCACCAGAGUGAGUCACGGUGACAAACACACGCCUGUCCUCUCAAUGCUCAGAGGACAGGGAAACAGAGUGCUUCUCCCACAGUGCUGCACUGGGUGG